GCGGACCUGGGCGCGCACUCUGCAGGGCACCGCGCCGCCCGCGCGCCCCUCGCCCGCCCCUCCGCCCUCGGAACUCGCCGAGCUUCGGAACCUGCGGUCUGAAAACCGUCCGUCCUGUGCUUGGGAAGUAAACUCUUAACCGGCCGUGUCAGGACACCUGAGACUGAAGGGGUGAACAGUGAGGUGCAUCCGUGAGGAGUGAGCCUGAAGAAGGUGAGUAACUUACUGAUGAUACAGGGAAAAGAAAGUGUUCAUGCGAUCGUCGGACUGAAGAGGUCUGCCCAGCAUUCCUGGCACAGGGGAGACCAGUGCGGGUCAUCGCCUUCAGGGGCUCUUGGCCUCACCCGAAGCCCUGAGCAGUCAGCGCCGAGUGCAGACGCCCGUUCAUCUGAUAAGUAGUGACCUUCCACCCAGGUGUUCGGAAUAAGCUCAUCUCUGUAGACUUCCUGCAGGAGGGAAUCGAGCAAAGAGAUUAGCACACUCAUAACAAGGAAGAAGUGCCCAGACAAGAGAUUUUUGUUAUAUGACUUCAUGAAAAAUAGUGAAAUGUCAGGUUCUUCACCAUUUAAGAUGCGAUUAGUUCAUUUGGACCUUAAAGGAGCUCCACCAAAGGUUUCCUACCUCUCUGAGGUCUUUCCUCUGUUCCAUGCCUUGGGCGCCAAUGGGCUCCUCCUCGAGUAUGAAGACAUGUUUCCCUACGAGGGCCGCCUCAGGCUGCUGAGAGCCAAGCACGCAUACAGGU